UACGGAGGGUGCGAGCGUUGUCCGGAAUCACUGGGCGUAAAGGGCGCGUAGGCGGCGCGGUAAGCGUGCGGUGAAAGCCCGGGGCUCAACCCCGGGUCGGCCGUGCGGACUGCCGGGCUCGAGCACCGUAGAGGCGGGUGGAAUUCCGGGUGUAGCGGUGGAAUGCGUAGAGAUCCGGAGGAACACCGAUGGCGAAGGCAGCCCCCUGGGCUGACACUGACGCUCAGGCACGAAAGCUAGGGGAGCGAACGGG
rnacentral:rRNA from 1 species